rnacentral:snoRNA from 1 species
CCCUUCUGCAUUAACAGAUGUCUGCUAAAAUUGUGCGAUCCAGAUAUUCUGUUUCAUGCAAUAAUGCUAGCAGACUUUCACGUGGAAGGAGAUUAUAGUGCACUGUACUGAAAAUGAGACGCGGUCGAACCUCUUUCUUAAUGUUCGUUGGUUGCUGUCUCAAGGUGAAGUGCCACAGUC